ensembl:lncRNA
GGCUGGUCCGCCCGAGCCCGGCGAGGGGCCGCGGGUGCGCACCGGAGCGUGGCUGCAACAGGUCUGCUCCCCGCUCGAGCUCCGCGCCGUCCCCUGGGGUCCCCUCCGCCUCUCCGCGCCGCGCGAGCACCACAGGACGUCGAUGGCCUUGGGGCCCCUGCUGAUACUCAAGCUGCCACCCUAAGACUGGCAGCGGAGAAGGCUCGGAGGUCGCUGGCAGAGACCGGUCGGCUCAAGUGGGUGGCCUCGGGUGAAGCGGAAGGACAGCGUCCUGGCGGGGCGCAGCCAGGGUCGUGGCCAGACUCCAGCUCCCCGCCCGGGGAACGAAGCCGGCGACGUUGUGGAAUGGUCCGGCGAGAAACGAGGAGGGUCCGGAGCGCACCGGCCACCCACCGGCGCCGAGGCUCGAGGCUCGGAGUCCUGCUCCUUGAGCAGCGCUGCGCAGGGACUCCAUCUCCAUCUCUACUUUAUUUUCACAUUUGAGAACCUGUUGAUGGGAUGGAUGAAAAUGCUGAAGUUGAUCACAGUGCUGAGAAUAUUCUUGAAGAUAAAUGGAAGAACUGUUAUGUGCAACAAAUCGGUCAGCUGUCUUUUCUGCCUGUACCACUUGGAGGGAAAAAAAAUCAGAAGGACUCUUUGCUUCCUCCUUCUGGAAGGAGUUGAGCUAAAGGACAAUCAGAUUCUGGGGUCUUCCUGGGACUUUCUUCUACUGGUGACGUGACUGGAGCAGGAGGAAGACCCGAGCUCAUGCCUGAGCUGAAGUCUUGCCUUUCUUCAGCAGAAUUGCAUGCAGAUUUCAGUUUCCAGCAUCCCUUGUGGCUUUCUGGUGAAAUGUGACGACUCCAGGCUGUAACCGGCUCCCUGCAGGACAAGCAGAGCCUGGGUCCCUGGGAGCCGAGGAGAAGCUACAGACCAGGAAGCAACACCUCCACUCCUGAUUCUGCCUCGUCACCUUGGGCCUGUGAGGCUGGACAGACCCCAGCCCAAGUGGCAGUGGAUUUGGAAAUGCGGAGCUUCCGGAAAACUUGGGCUGGCUCCUGGGAUGACUCAUGGAGUUACCCUAAGUGUUGCCCUUGGGAUGUCUGCAUUUCCCUUCACAUUGGGUCUGCCACACUCAUUCACCAAACCCUUCAUGGCCCAUUGUGACUGCGAAUCCAAGUCUGCAUCUCCAAUUGUCCUGCACAGGCUGACUGUGACAGCACGCUACUCUGAGGAUUGCUGCAGCCAGCGCUGUUUCAACAUCUUCGACAGCAUCUUGCCAGCUGAGAAUCUGAGCCCAACUCUACUGCCAGGAAGCUCUCAGUGACCAGUGGAGAAGCCCACCCUCCUUUGCUGGACAAGUCUCAGAGGACUCAGGGAACCAUCCAGGAUUUGCUUGCACAGCACGCACUUUGGGCACAUGUGCUCUGCAUGGGGAGCCAUCACAGGCAGGGAAAGCACUGUCACCAUCACAGAGGGUCCUGGUCAGGGCUACUCUGCCUCCCAUAGCUUUGACAGCUGGCUCUGUGACCCAGAAGGAGCCUCACUCCUGUUUGGGGGAAGGGGUCAAGUGUUAUGCCCCCUGUGCACAGUUGUUCUUGCAUCUAC